CAGAGGUGGAGGCAGAUGGAGAGGCCUCUCAAUGACCACUUCGGGACCUUCCGCUCGGGCCUCCACCCGCGAGAAGCCUUCUUUGCUGGCCCCCAAUUAUGGAGGAUAAGUGAAAACUGUACAAAGCUGAAUACCUCCAGAAAAGCACACCACCAUCAUUAAUGUAUAUGCUCUCCCUAUGAUGAACCCUGCUGAGAUCAAAGAAAAAUAUGGUGAUUUGGAAACUCUCAUCAGUGUGUCAAAAAAGGACAAUCCUGGAUGACUUUAACACCAGAGUAGGUACAGACUAUCAAAUGUGGCAGGGAUUUCUGGAGUAAAGUUGGAAACAAGAAUGGCUGUUUAUUACUGAAGACUUGUGCAUUUCAUGUUCUCAUCACCAACACUGUCUUCUGUUAACCUAAAUGCAAUAAAACUUCAUGAAUGCACAUUUGAAGCAAA